GAUGAAGAACGCAGCGAAAUGCGAUACGUAAUGUGAAUUGCAAAUUCAGUGAAUCAUCGAGUCUUUGAACGCACAUUGCGCCCCCUGGUAUUCCGGGGGGCAUGCCUGUCCGAGCGUCAUUGCUGCCCUCAAGCACGGCUUGUGUGUUGGGCCCCGUCCUCCGAUCCCGGGGGACGGGCCCGAAAGGCAGCGGCGGCACCGCGUCCGGUCCUCGAGCGUAUGGGGCUUUGUCACCCGCUCUGUAGGCCCGGCCGGCGCUUGCCGAUCAACCCAAAUUUUUAUCCAGGUUGACCUCGGAUCAGGUAGGGAUACCCGCUGAACUUAAGCAUAUCUAAGCGGAGGA
rnacentral:misc_RNA from 1 species